CUGUACUUUGGAAAUUUAUAUGCAUUAAAUAAGUUAAAAAAAAUGCAAAAACCGAGGAAACAAGAACAAGGAAGACAUCAUGACGCUCCCAAAUGGCCAUAACACUCCAAUACAAGAUUAUGAAGAUGAUGAGACAGAAGAAUAUGGUAUUCCAAACAUUUAUAAUAAGAACACUUAGAAGUUAUCAAAAACAAAUGCAUGAAAUACAGAAAUCUAUAUAGGACACAAAAGUCUCAGAAAAUUCAAAAGAAUUGAAAUCAUACCCUGCAUCUUAUUGGACCACCAUGAAAUGAAGCUGGAAACUAGCAACUCAGGAAUCCCUAAAGCAUUUGCAAACACAUAGAGACUGAACAACAUGCUCCUUAAUGAACAGUGGGUCAUAGAAGAUAUCAAAAUAGAAAUCAAAACCUUUCUGGAAGUAAUUGAGGAUAACAACACAACAUAUCAAAACUUCUGGGAUAUAGCAAAAGCAGUGUUAAGAGGAAAGUUUACAGCAAUAGGUGCCUACAUCAAGAAAUUGGAAAGGCACCAAAUAAUUAAGAGAUCAAUGCAUCUCAAGGAUCUAGAAAAACUGCAGCAAACCAGACCCAAAACUAGUAGGAGAAGAGAAAUAAUUAAAAUCAGAAAAAGAUAUAAACAGAAUUGAAUGCAAAAAAUAGAAAAGAUCAGCAAAACAGAGACCUGGUUUUUUGAAAAAAAUAAACCAAAUUUACAGAACAUUGGCCCAACUAAUUAAAAAAAGAAAAGACCCAAAUCAAUAAAAUCACAGAUGAAAAAGGGAAUGUAACAACAGAAACCACAGAAAUAAAGAGUCAUCAGAAAUUACUACAAAGAGUUGUAUGCCAACAAACAGAGAAAUCUAUCAGAAAUGGAUAGAAUUGAACCAUGGAGACAUAGAAAACCUAAACAGACCCAUAACUGAGACAGAAAUUGAAUCAGUAAUAAAGUCCCUCCCAACAAAGAAAAGCCCAUGACCAGAUGGAUUCACUGCUGAAUUCUACCAGGCAUUUAAAGAAGAACUGACUCCAAUUCUUCUCAAACUAUUCAGAGCAAUUGAAAAAGAGGGAGUCCUCCCAAAUUCUUUCUAUGAAGCCAGCAUCACCUUAAUUCCUAAGCCUGAAAAAGAUGCAGCAUUGAAAGAGAAUUACAGACUAAUAUCCCUGAUGAACAUAGAUGCAAAAAUCCUCAAUAAAAUUCUGGCCAAUAGAAUGCAACAACACAUCAGAAAGAUCAUCCACCCAGACCAAAUGGGAUUUAUCCCUGGUAUGCAGGGAUGGUUCAAUAUUUGCAAAUCAAUCAAUGUGAUACACCACAUUAACAAACUGCAGAAUAAAAACCAUAUGGUUAUCUCAAUAGAUUUAGAAAAAGCAUUCGAUAAAAUACAACACCCUUUCAUGAUGAAAACACUAAGCAAAUUGGGUAUAGAAGGAACAUUCCUCAAUACAAUCAAAACAAUUUGUGAAAAACCCAUGGCCAGCAUCCUGUUGAAUGGGGAAAACUUGGAAGCAUUUCCACUGAGAUCUGGUACCAGACAGGGAUGCCCACUCUCACAACUGCUGCUCAAUAUAGUUAUGGAAGUGUUAGCCAGAGCCAUUAGGCAAGAAAAGAUAUUAAAGGAAUACAAAAUGGGAAGAAAGAAGUCAAAUUAUCCCUAUUUGCAGACGAUAUGAUUCAUUAUUUAGGGGAUCCAAAGAACUCCACCAAGAGACUAUUGGAACUCAUAGAAGAAUUUGGCAAAGUAGCAGGGUAUAAAAUCAAUGCACAAAAAUCAACAGCUUUUGUAUACAAAGGCAAUUCCAUGGCUGAGAAAGAACUUCUAAGAUCAAUCCCUUUCACAAUAGCUACAAAAGAAAUCAAAUACCUUGGAAUAAACUUAACCAAGGACAUUAAAGAUCUCUAUGAGGAGAAUUACAAAAUCUUAUAGAAAGAAAUAGAAGAGGAAAAACCUUCCAUGCUCAUGGAUUCGAAGAAUCAAUAUCAUCAAAAUGUCCAUUCUCCCAAAAGCAAUUUAUGGAUUUAAUGUGCUACCAAUCAAAAUACCAAAAGACCAAAGACCUUCUUCUCAGAUCUGGAAAAAAUGAUGCUGAAAUUCAUAUGGAGGCACAAGAGACCUCGAAUAGCUAAAGCAAUCUUGUACAACAAAAACAAAGCUUGAGGCAUCACAAUACCACAUUUCAGGACAUACUUCAGGGUAUACUUCAGACUUACCCCUAAUGGUAGUUAGAAACAUGCCAGGGGAUUUAAUUAAAUAAAAGUUAAAUAAUAAAUAAAUAAAUAAAAUGGCAAAAAUAGGCAAAAAAGAAUAUAUGUAUAUAUUCAUGUAUUUAAAAUUCCUUUUACAUGUUUAUCCCAUGUGUAGAAGCAAAUGUCUGUUACUAUCAUUUUCUUGUUGCUGAAGAACAAUCUUUCAAACUUCUUGAAGUACAGGUCUGAACAAAAACUAGUGCAUUUUUCAGCUUUUAUUUCUUUGACCAAAAUAUUUUGGUUGAUGAUCAUGAAUGAGACUACUAUAACUCUGCAUUCAGAAUGUUAACUUACAGGAUUUUCUUUUAAUAAUUUUACUGUAUGGUUUUAUAGAUUGUUUUUCACAAGAAGUCUAUUAUCUAUACAUAAUAUGUAAUUUUUCUGCCUCUUUUUAAAAUUUUUAUUUACAGUAGUUCAAAAAUUUGUUUUUCUUUAACAAAGAAAGUUUAAAAUAAUAUUGCAGCACAAUUAAAAUGAAUGAUCAUCAUCAAUAUACCAGCUUAAAUUAUACAUCAUUUACUGAAAAUUAUAUAUUUCUAAAUUGCUGACAGAUGAUUUUAAACACUAAAUGAAUUUUAUCCUCUAAUGUACAUCUAUGAUUUGUCUUUGUAAUGUAAGGAAAAAGAAAGCAGUUACUUCUUCAGCUGUGAAGAAGUGUUCAAUAAAUAAGGCAAACAAAAUCAAUAAUAAAAAAUAAUUACUAAUUUAUCAAAAUAGUUGUUUAUAUUUAAAACAAAAACUGUAGCUAGUGGUACAGCUAGCAGCUGGUAUGAGUAAUGUAAACACUGGGAAAUUAGGUUGUCAGCAUAUCAGCUAUAAUAUAACUAAAAAUAUCAUACUCAGAUUCCCAUUAAAGAUGUUUGAGUUUUUCCUUUGAAAUUUAAUAUCAAGAAAGUAUUUAUCUUGCUUAAGUCACUGAUACCAAUGACUUUUAAUUCUCAUUGUAAGCAGACAAUUCAGAACACACCUUAGUAACAGAUAGAAAGAAACAUAGCAAAGCUAUAAGACUAAUGCAAAAAUAACAAUUAUAUUGUAUUUCUUGAGGCUGCUGUGUUUGGAUUGUAGAAAUAGAGCACACAUCAAUUAGAAGCACUCAGAUAAUUCAUAAUGUUAUAUACACACAUUUAUAUACACAAACAUCUGAUUCUCAAUGAUCAUGAAUGAGACUACUAUAACAAAAUUAUUCUAUCUUCAGAAUUUGUUAGGUUUUAUAGUGAUGACUGAAUACACAAUAAUCUACAAGUAAACUAAGUUUUCCAAUGACAUGGUAUACUAGAGAAAUCACACAACUUCCCAACAGUGAUGGAUCAACUCCCAACCUGGAAUCAUAUUCCCAUACUAAUAUCAAGAUAUAAGAGAUCUGGUCAUCAUCUAUUCAUAGAUUCAGAGCGUCUUGAGGGGAGAAAGGAGAAAAUGAAAGUACCUUCAACAGACUGUGUGGAAUUUGGGACCUCAAGUGUGCUGCAGGCCACUAGCAGAGAGCUGAGUAGGAAGUUGAGCAUCUGGGACAGGAACCAGCACCCAUAUGGGAUGCCUGCAUUGCAGGUGGCAGCUUUACCCUCUAUACCACAUCGGCCCCUGGAUGGCAAAGCUUAAAAUCAGGUAGGUAUAUCUUUCAAUUUCAUUUCUCUUUAUCAUAUUAUUCUCCCAUUUUUAGGUCCUUCACAUUUCCUUCUCAAAUAUUUUAUCAUCUUGUCAAUUUCUGAUAUAAAAAGUCUCACAGAGAUUUUGAUGGAAUCUGGUAUUUGCAAUGUUUGUAUCUUUUUUGUGAAAUAUUAAUAAUUUAUGGAGAAAAUGUCUUUCAAAGGUGGUUAUGCUAGGAAAAUAUAUAUCAUUAGACACUAAUAUGACUGUGAAGAAAUAUUUUGGCCAUUUUUUUAAUCAAUUAGUAAUUUCCUUUAUUAAAAUACAUAGAUCCUACAGUAAUUAUUCUCAAAUAUAAAAAGUACAAUAUUCCCUACCUCCUUUUUGUGUCUAUCUAAAUUUACAUCAUUAAAAUGUUUUCCUCAAUAGAUUACAAGUGAAAAUUAAAAUGUUGGUGCAAAUUAAAAAGACUGCUAUAAUAAGCAAAGCACAGACCCUUCUUAGAUUUCUUAUUAAUCAAUGUGACAUCAACACAUUUUGUAUUAUUAUUUUCAUUAUAAAUAUAAUUAGCACGUUUAUUCUUCUCACAUACACUACUUAAUGAACUUGAUCACACAAUUUUCAAGAGAGAAAAAAUGUAUAGUUCUGUGAUGAAAAGACAAGUUUCCUUUAACACUUUUUCCUUGUAACAGGCUCGAAAGUGCAAUGUAAUUCUUACAAGUGUAUUUAAAUUAUAGCAUACCAAUUUAAUUAAACAUAAAAAAUUAAAACUGACUUCUAGAUUCAAAUAAAUGAACCAUUAUUGAAAGUCACAACAGACCUACCAUCUCUUUUGGUCCACAUUUAUCAAUAUAUAGCUUUAAAUACUAGACAUUUGGUCCUUAAUGGCUGGAAUGACAACAGGAAAUCAGGUAGAGCAGAACCUCAGCGGAUUGAGAAAGGACCUAGAAACAUCUCAGUCUGGCACUGUUCCUACUAAAGGAACUAAUCAAGGCAGACAGGGGUCCCCAGGGAACUGGAAGAAGUCAGUGUUUAGAGUUAUGCUAGCGUGUCUAUGGAUCUCCAGUUGAUCAACCUAGGAGAUUCAAUAAGGUAAUCAUCUCUUGUAUAUGUGGUGUCACUAGACUGACUCAUUUAUCUGGAACUCCAACUACUUUUUGUUAUAACCAUGGCAACUAACAAAUUUCACAGUCCUCAUUUCUUAGCUAAAUCAUCAUAGUAGGUUCCUAAGUACCAUUUACUUGUAUUUCUGAGGUCCAUUUUGUAUUCAUAAACCAUAGAGUGAGUACCUUUAAAUCAAAACAGAAACCCAAAAAAAGAAAUCCACACACCUACAGUCAGCUUAUCUUUGACAAAGUUGCUUUAAAAAAGCUAUAGAAAAAAGAGUAUUCUCUUCAAAAAAUGAUGCUGAUAAAACUGAAUAUCCAUAUACAGAUAUUUGACUAAAGACCCUACCCUCUCAAGGUAUACAGAAAAUCAACUCAAAAUGGAGCAAAUAUUUAGAUGUAAGACUUGAAACUAUGAAACUACAAGAAGAAAACAUAAAGAAAACACUUCAAGGGGUCAGCGCUAUAGCAUAGUGGGUAAAGCCACCACCUGUGGUGCCAGCAUCCCAUAUGGCUACUGCUCCACUUCUGAUUUCAGCUCUUUGCUGAUGGCCUGGGAAAGCAGUGGAAAAUGACCCAAGUGUUUGGGCCCCUGAACCCAUUUGGGAGACCCAGAAGAAGUUCCUAGAUACUAGCUUCAGGUCGGCUCAGCUCUAGCCGUUGUGGCCAUUUGGGGAGCAAACCAGCACAUAGAAGUCCUUUCUCUCUGUCUCUCCCUCUCUCUGUCUGUAACUCUACCUCUUGAAUAAAUAAAUCUUAAAAAAAAACAAACAAAACACUUUGAUGGGGCCGGCGCCAUGGCUCACUUGGUUAAUCCUCCGCCUGCAGCACCAGCAUCCCAUAUGGGCAUCGGUUCCAGUCCCGGUUGCUCCUCAUCCAGUCAAGCUCUGUGCUGUUGCCUGGGAGAGCAAUGGAGGAUGGCUCAAGUGCUUGGGCCCCUGCACCUGCAUGGGAGACCAGAGGGAAGCACCUGGCUGCUGGUUGUGGACAGGUGUAGUUCCGGCCAUAGUGGUCAUUGGGGGAGUGAACCAAUAGAGGGAAGAUCUUUCUCUCUGUCUCUCUCUCUCUCUCACUGUCUAACUCUAUCUGUCAAACAAAUAAAUAAAUAAAUAAAUAAACAAUUUGGGGAUCAGGAAAAAUGGCAGAGUAGGGAACAGCACAGUUCACAAUGCUAGGAAGAAAUAGUGUGGAGAAUAUGGUGUAGGAGGUACACACUUGGCAAAGAAGUGGAGAGAAAACCACCCAGGAAGCCCCAUGGGAGGGGUAGAAAUGGCUUGAACUUGUGUGAACCCACAAUCCAGCUGAGAGAAGGCUGGCACCAUUUUAAAAUAGGACUACGACUAUUGAAGGCUGCAGGCAUGAACAUAACAGCUCACUGAAAUAAGACAGCACUGAGCACAGCACUGACAGCAGUGACGUGCAGAUAUUAGGCCAGGGACUAUAGUGUGCUGUUGUGAUCCAGAGCUAUAAGUACAGGGAAUGGUCCUGUAGCACCAAUGCCUCAGAGCUCAGUGGGAAGAUGGCCAUCAUUAUGAAAGAAUGAGAAGGCAGAAAUACAUAAGAAAUCCAAAGUAAACAAUAGGAAUAUUUAUGGAAAAUGGCAGAGCCAAGUCUUACUUACCAAUAGUCACCUUGAAUGUAAAUGGUUUUAAUUCUAUAGUUAAGAUACAGACUGUCUGAAUGGAUUGAAAAAUAAGACCCAACUAUUAGCUGCUUAUAAGAAAAACAUCUCACCAACAAAGAUGCACACAGACUGAAAACGAUAGUCCCCACUAACAGAAACCAAAAAAAAGAGCUGGCGUUGCCAUCAAAAUAUCAGACAAAAUAGGCCUUAACAUAACAGCUGUUAAAAGAGAUGAAGAAGGUACUAUGUAAUGAUUAAGGGAUCAAUCCAACAGGAAAAUGUAACUAUAAUAAAUAUAUAUGCACCCAAUUACAGGGCACCUGGCUACUUAAAAAAUGUUAAUAAUGUUAAUAGACCUAAAGGGAGAAAUAGACUUCAAUACAGUAGUAAUAGAGGACUUCAAUACCACACUUUCAGCAAUGGACAGAGUAACCAGACAGAAAAUCAACAAGAAACAACAGAGUUAAUCAACUCUAUAGACCAAAAGGACCUAACAGAUAUCUAUAGAACCUUUCACCCAACACUGGCAUAAUACACAUUCUUCUCAUCAGUACAUGGAACGUUCUCUAGCAUAGACCAUAUGCUAGGCCACAAAGCAAUUCUCAGCAAAUUCAAAAAACUGAAAUCAUUCCAUGCAUCUUCUCAGACCACAAUGGAAUAAAGUUAGAAAUCAGCAAGUCAAGAAUCUGUAGAACAUACAUAAACACAUGGAGACUGAGCAACAUGCUCCUGAAUGAAUAGUGGAUCAUAGAAGAAAUGAAAGAUUUCUGAAAAUGAAGAUGACAAUACAUCAUAUCAAAACCUAUGGGAUACACAAAAGCAGUGGUAAGAGGGAAAUUCAGGGCUGGCGCUGUGACAGAACAGGUAAAGCUGUAGCCUGCAGUGCUGGCAUCUCAUAUGGGCAUGGGUUCGAGUCUCGGCUGCUCCACUUUCAAUCCAGCUCUCUGCUAUUGUUGCUGUAGAUUCGUUCUGAGAGGAGUGCUGUGGGGACAAGAGGCGCGGAGUCAUCCCACAGCCACCAGGAGUAGGUGAAAGUGGGCUAGAGGUGAGCAGCCCAUAGACUCGUUUAUUUCAGUUGGUGCAGCAGCUUAUAUAGCAGAGGCAACCAAUCCAAUCAAGGGGCAGUUUAUGCCCUAACCAAUCACAGCCUGUUGCCAGGCAGGCUCUGUUGCUAGGUGGUUUCCCAGGUGGUUUCUGAAGCCAUUCCUGAGUAACUGAUGUUGGCUUGCCAGCAGCCAUCUUGACAUGGCCUUCUCAUUCCAUCACAUGCUAUGGCCUGGUAAAGCAGUAGAAGAUGGCCCAAGACCUUGGGCCCCUGCACCCACAUGGGAAGCCUGGAAGAAGCUCUAGGCUCCUGGCUUCAGAUUGGCGCAGCUCUGAUCAUUGUGGCCAAUUGGGGAGUAAACCAGCAGCUGGAAGACCUCUCUCUCUCUCUGCCUCUCCUUCUCUCUAUGUAACUUUGACUUUCUUUUUUUAUUUUUUUAAUCCUAAGAGUGCAUUAGAUCUUAAAAAAAAAAUUUAAUAUAUGCCAUUCUUUUGGAUAGUUGCUAUUUUCAAGACAUUUUGCUAAAUGGUCUUGAUAUGCAAUUUCAUAUUCACAACAAUGCUGAGGUUGGCAUUGUUAUUGUAUUUCUUUGAUUCUAAAAUACUACUGAUGGCAAGAUAUACUGUCUGUGGGGAGCAGGGCCCUGUGGGGAGCAGGGCCCGUCUCCCGCAACAUGGUGAAAUAAGUACUGAGACUAUCAAGACUAGACUAGACUAUUGAGACUAACUCUAUGUGCCUGAUCUCCCACCAUAUGGCGCUGAGAGGGAGUAAACAAAUCUUACACAGCUGCUUCGUCAAUUAGCUGAUUCCUGAUCCAACCUCUGAUUGGAGGAGAACAGCGUGCUCAGCAUGUGGGCAGCAGAGCACGGAUUGGUGAGAGAGGACUAUAAAGGUGAGAUAGAAGCGGCGCGGGGGAAUUCGCUUAUGCGCCACGAGGCGCCGCAGACAUCUCACACCAUGUGCCGAAAGAAUAACAAGAAUGCGAACACACACCAAGUAGAAUGUGGUUAGAAUGCUGUUAGCACAGGAGCAAACUUGAGCGCACAACGCAGAGUCAUUUGCUUAAAUAACAGCGUCCGGUCCGGUGACGCUCCUCCACCCGCGGAGGAGUGACACUGUCAAUAAAAAUUCAGCAUUUUAGGUAAAAAAAGCACAAGAAAACCCCAUCACAUUAAAUGUAGGUGUGACAGGCAAUAGUGAUGCUAAUUGCAGCAAAGUUAAAAUAUGGGGGGCAGGUGGAUGGAAAAUACCUCUUAAAAUCAAGGAAAUACUAUAUCUCCAUUUUUCAGAUGAGAAAACCAAAGCAUAAGGAAUUUAAAUAUUUUCCAGUCUGUAGAAAAAGCUAGGG